rnacentral:lncRNA from 1 species
CCGAGCUAAGUGACUCUUGCUUGUAACCCAAGUGGGGGCACCAAGGUGGUGGGACAUCGGUUCGAUCCAUUUGGCAGGACUUGAUGUUGCAAUUUGCUGGCUCGCCCGUUCCAAGUUGAGAGUUGGGCCCUGUGGUUCGGGCUUAAGCUUGGGCCGUGGCCCUUAGAGCGGAGGGCAAUGCGUGAGGCUGGUUUCACAGAGCAGCGAAAACCUCCCGCUCUCAACAGUGGAAGGAUGACGUGUCGGUGCACCGCUAGCCCAGAUUGUCUCAUGGGUUGAAACCAGUUGAACCACCACCUUUUUGCGAAACAAACAUUGUGUGACAAAUUGCGUGCAAUUUUCGAAGCCGAAAAUCUUGUCCUCGAUAUUUCAGAACAUCAUCAUAAUAACAAAUUAACCAUGAAAUUAAGCACGUAUGCGAUCUAAUAUCAUAGAAAAGUUACCAUUUUAUCAGUUUGCUAAUUGUUUUUUGUUGUUAACCAAUAAAUAAAUAAAUAAUACUGUUUAAUUCUUGUUUAAUUAGUUGGUUUUUUGUCCAUGGCUAAACAAGAAGAGGUCCUAUAUGUUCAUGUGUAAGAUGGGUUAAGUUUAAUUAAUCUGAUAAAAAAGAGUGAUUAAGGAUUAAAAUUAGGGUUUUGUUUAGGAUUAAUUUGAUAUAUUCUUGCACAUCCUAUGUUUUUUGUCUUCAAAUAAUUCUUCGUAAAUAUAUGUUGAAGCACAAAUUUUCCAUCGCGAAAACAAAUCAUUAGUAUAUUUUUCAUUACAUGUAGAAGACACAGUCUCAGAAAACUAGGACAAAGAACUGAAGUUCUUCUGCAACUCUACACAACUGAAAGUAAGGCUCGCUCAAUGGAGCUCGAGUGUUUUUUGUAAACUUGCGUAUUUAGUGAGAGAGUAGGGACCUCAGAUUUAUACAGUAUACAAUGGAUUUCAAUAAGGAUCCCUCCCAUUAAGUGAUCCUUAUCUUUAUCAUCGUGAAACACUUAUGCGUUAUAUCAGUUAGAAGAAUUCUAUUUUUACUGAGAAUAUAUCUAACUUGAAACUUUAAGAAAUACAACUCCUGAUAAGUCUACCACAAGUGGCAAUCGUAAUCUCCAUAUCUUUCCGAAUGUCUUUGAUCAAAUAACCAAGUGUAUGCUCUCGUAUAUAACUUACAGAGAGAUCUGCAAAAGAAGCAGGAAGAGGACCAAGUGUUUGGGACUACUAUGCUUAGAAAUUCCCAGGUUUAUAUAUAUACCAGCUGUUAAGACAUAUUAUAAUGCAUGCAUGGAAUGAGAAACUCGGGUCUAGUAGAGCUAUAUGCGUUCAGAGUUGUGGCUUGCAUACAACCGGUAUCCAAUGAGCAUAAGAUCAUAUCUUCUACAAACAUGACUCCACUUUAGAGGAAAUAACAUAUAAUCGAAUUUUUUUGCUUACCAAAGUGUUCUUACUAAAAGUAAAUAAGCAACAUGUUCGAUCCGUUCCAUAGGACUGGCUGCUUUCUUUAUCUCGCUUUUCCUUUCUUAGUUUCUGUUUACAUCGGUGGGAAUAGUCAACAAGGGUGGUUUUAAAUAUAAUUACCCUACUCUAACUACUACCGAGGGCCUUUGUGGUAAAACCCUACACCUAAUGGAUUUGGCAUAUAGUAAAGUUGGGGACAAUAUCGGUGUCGUUAGAGUGGGACCCCCUGGCCCGUCAAUCUAAAAAAUUUCAACAGUUUCAUAUGCUCAUUUUGUUUUGUUUACAUCCAGGACGGAUUGCAGACCACACUAACAUGUUUAAAGCCAUUGAUUCAUACAAAGCGAUACAAGGUGAUACUUAAGUUUCUCUCGUCUUCGGCAUAAGAUUUAACCAAAAAUAUUUGUAAUUAUAGGAUGAAGUGAAGGCUCUAAGGAGCUUGGAGUUGAUUCUCACAGAUUUUCCCUCUCUUGACCUGGAUUCUCCUAAUAAGUAAUCAUAAUUUUACCUAGAUUUAUUGUCUGCUAAUAAGCAGUUUCAUGGAAGCUGCAUGUUUAUGUUUAAUCUCUACUAAAAUUUUCACUUUGUUCGAAAUUUACAAUGUUUAGACGGAACCUUGAAUGGUAGAGUAAACUAACAGAACAUCGAUCACUACGACAACUUCAUCGACGAACUAAUAAAAAAUUGUAUACAAUCUGUUCAAAAAAUUCCAUUACACUACAACAUUAUCUUUGUUAUAUUAUUAUAGAUAAGUUUGUUGAAUCUGUAUAUCCAGAAUUCCGCAGGUUUCUUUGAAAUCUCAUGAGAAUUUCAGUUGGAAUUUUGUUUACAUUUGUACUAAUUUGUACCUCAUCGACCACCGCAAUAUAAACACAGUGCUUUAUAUACGAAGUUACUUGUGCACUGUUCGCCGAGCUAUGUCACUCUAGCUUGUAACCCAAGUGGGGGCGCCAAGGUGGUGGGACAUCGGUUCGACCCAUUUGGUAGGACUAGUCGUUGCAAUUUGCUGGCUCGCCCGUUCCAAGUUGAGAGUUGGGCCCUGUGGUUCGGGCUUAAGCUUGGGCCACGUGGCCCUUAGAGCGGAGGGCAAUGCGUGAGGCUGGUUUCACAGAGCAGCGUAAACGUCCCGCUCUCAACAGUGGAAGGAUAACGUGUCGGUGCACCGCUAGCCCAGAUUGUCUAAUGGGUUGAAACCAGUUGAACCACCACCUUUUUUCACGUUCUUUUCGUAUUUCGUCGACCUUUUCUUUUUUUAUAAAAUUUCUAUGCACAAACUGCUUGCUGUACACACCAUAUUUUCCUAGCUCAUGCUUAACACAUUAGGGACGAACUCUAAGAGGUCGAUUAUUCGAGAACAUCAACAUAAUAACAGAUUAACCAUGAAAUUAGGGACGGAUUGCAGACCACACGAACAUCAGUUGGAAUUAAUAUGUACUAGAAGUCCAGAACCCUAAAUACCAAACUCCUAAUAUAGCCUGCGCUUAAUAUCUAGACAAGGUUAUCAUUUUCUCAGUUAAUUGUUUCCAAUCGUUGGCCAAAAAAUAAAUAAAGAAAAUACUGUUUAAUUCUUGUUAAAUUGUUUAUUGUUCAAGGCUAUACAAGAAGAGGUCCUAUAUAUUCUCGUGAACGAUGGGUUAAGUUUACUUAAUGUGAUAAUAAAGGGUGAUUAAGGAUUAAGACUAGGAUUUUUGUCUGGAGGUCAUGGAGUUCUUACCAUCAUGGUUAAGGAUUGUACAAGGGAUGUGGGCUAUUGCUUUUAUUAGUGCCUCUUUGUCACAAGGUUUGCAGUUUGUAAUUAUAAAAUUAACUUAGAUAAACAUCUGAAAUCUUAAAAUUGUUCUUGAUAAUUAUUUUUUGCUUUGUUUGCUCACCAUAUUGCAUCAACAACUAAGACAAAAAUUACAGGUGUGGAACAGUUCUUCACAUAGAAAUAUGUUGAAGCACUGACUUUCCUAUCGAGAAAACACGCCUUCGGUUUUUUUUUUGGUUAUUUUCAAGCUGCAUGCAUUAGGCAACUCAAACAUGAAAAAGGUAACUAAAUUUAAGUGCAUAUGUUGAUGCAGCUGAUGUGAAUGCUGAGAGCGAGUUUCAGCCAUUGCGAAAUGCAUCAAACCCUGAAGAACUAAAAGUGAAGAGGUCCGACUUCCCUAGUGAUUUCGUGUUCGGAGUCACCACUGCUGCUGCACAAAUGGAAGGAUCUGCAAAAGAAGCAGGAAGAGGACCAAGUGUUUGGGACUACUACAUUGAGAAAUUCCCAGGUUUAUAUAUACACACACACAUUAUAUAUAUCAGCUGCCAUAAGAUCAUAUUAUAAUGCAUGCAUUUCUUUUCUUAGUUUAAUAUGCUCGUUCUGUUUUGUUUAUGAUUUUUUUGUUUGCGAUCAGGACGGAUUGCAGACCACACGAACAUGUUUACAGCCAUUGAUUCAUACAAGCGAUACAAGGUGCAUAUCGAGCUAGCGAAAACCAAGUUUCUCUAGUCUUUGGGAUAAAUAUUUAACCAAAUAUUGUAAUUGUAGGAAGAAGUGAAGAAUCUCAAGGACCUUGGAGUUGAUUCUCACAGAUUUUCCAUCUCUUGGACCAGGAUUCUUCCUAGUAAUCAAUUUUACCGAGUUCUUUUUUUUAACGCUAAUUUUGUAAAUUAAAAUUGAGGGUUUUAUGAUUAAUCUCUACUAAACUCUUGCUCUAUAUAUGUUUGAAAUUCUCAAUGUGUAGAGGGAACCUUGAGUGGUGGAGUAAACCAAGAGGGUAUCAAUCACUACAACAACUUCAUCGACGAACUAAUCAAGAAUGGUAAGAAUCUCUGUUCAAGCAAAACCUUUAUAUUACGACAUUAAUUAAUCUUGUUAUAUAUUAUACAUAGGAUCCUUUUAUAUCAAUAUCGUUGAAUGAAAAAAAACUCCACUUCAGUCGAUUCGGACCUCCACUUAGUUUCACCCAAGCUUUGUUGAGCUUGUAUACCAGAAGGAUCCCAUAGAUUUCUGUAAUCUCAUGAAGUUCGACUCUAACAUCACAUGACGGGGUUAACUAUCACAUCAAAGCUGUUCUAAUAUUUCACUUUAAUGUAGACAUCACACCAUUUGUGACCAUAUUGCACUUUGAUCCACCACAAGCUUUGACAGACAAGUAUGGCGGCAUCCUCAAUCGCUCCUUCGUGUAAGCACCUUCUAAAUUACAUCCAUUUCAUUUCUCAUAGUUUAGGAUAAUAUAAAAUUUAGUCAUUGACAUAAAUUCUGAUAUUUCUUCAUCACGUUUUGCAGGAAAGAUUUCAAGGAUUACAGUGAACUUUGUUUUAAACUUUUUGGAGAUAGGGUGAAAAAUUGGUUUACAAUCAACGAGCCGUGGAUCAUGGCGAAAAUGGGGUACGACAAAGGCGUUGGUCCGCCGGGCAGGUGUUCUGUUCAAACUGUAUUUCCAUGCACAAAUGGUGGUAAUUCAGCCACGGAACCUUACAUUGUGGCACACCACCUUCUCCUUGCCCAUGCUUCAGUCGUUGAGCUUUACCGGAAGAAAUUUCAGGUGAAAUGCUCACACUGAAUCUGUUGAAAUGAAUGAAGCCUUGUCUUUUGAUUAUCUCAAAUUAAUGAGAUAAAUGUUCUUUCUUGGUUGAUAUUGGUUUUUAGGAUAAACAAGGCGGACAAAUUGGAAUUAGUCUUGUAGGACAAUAUGUCAUGCCUUAUUCGAAUUCGGCAGAAGACAAAGCUGCAGCAGAAAGAAUAUUAGACUUUGAACUUGGAUGGUUAGUAGAUAUAUCUACAUUGGUCCUAAAUAUACUUGCUCGAUUGGUAUAAGAAGUCUUCUAGUUGUAAAUUUUCCUAAAACAAUAUGAUGUUCUUGUUUAGGUUCAUGGAACCAUUAGUAUAUGGAUCAUAUCCAGAGAGUAUGAGACCUUUGGUCAAGGACAGGCUACCACAUUUCACCAAGGAGGAGGAGAAGAUGAUCAAUGGAUCCUUAGGUUUUGUCGGCAUCAACUAUUACUCCACAAGAUAUGGUAGAAACGUCCCAGCAAAACCACAAGGACCAAUCUCUUAUAGCGACGAUAUUUUAGCUUUGGCGUUGAUCACAAGUAAAUUUCAUAAUAUCUCAAUGUUGCUUCUUUUGUGUUUGCACGCAUGUGUUAUUGUGCCAUGGAAGGUUAAAUUGAUAGGACUUACACGGUUUUUUCAUGUUGUGAUUGUUGUAGAUGAAAACGGAACCCAAAUUGGUCCUAAGGUAUACAAAAGAGCAUGGACCCAUGCACAAGGAUGAUACGCAUAUAUAAUUUUGCACUAUGUAGUUUCCAUCUUUCUAUAUAUAGCAAAACUAAAUUCUUUCAUCCGUGUAGGCGGGAGGAAGUCGGUUCGUCUACAGUUACCCACAAGGCCUGGAACAACUUCUAAAGUUUAUGAAGAAGAAGUACCAGGACCCUAAAAUCUACAUUUCUGAACAUGGAAUAACCGAGGCAAAGGACGAUAAACUAAGACUUAGUGAUGCACUUAAGGAUCCACAUAGAAUUGAAUCCAUUCUUCGCCAUUUGUACCGGAUCAAGAAGGCAAUAGAGUAAGUCACUGCAAUCUAUGUUAACAAGUUUGAGGAUGCAUACAUGCAUUUACUUAUGUUGUUUCUGUCCUUGUUUUGGAAGGAGUGGUGUGAAUGUCAAAGGAUAUUUCCACUACACUUUAUCUGAUAAUUUUGAAUGGGGAGAAGGCUAUAUCCCAAGAUUCGGGCUUUACUACGUCGACUACAAAGACAAUCUCAAGCGCAUUCCUAAAGAGUCUGCUAAGUGGCUCCCUAAGUUCCUAAAGGGCGAGGCUUGAUGUACUCAAGUUCGAUAUAAACUCCAGAUGGUUGUCAAGCUCAUCUACUUUCUUGCACACAAAUGCAGAAAACUGUAAAGAAAGAGUGGUAGAAUAUGUACUAUAUAUGCCUUGAAUGUUCAGUUUUAUAGGCUUGGUAUUUCUGUGGGAAUGCCCUGUACUUUUAAUACUGGCAUAGGUUUGUAAUAUACUUGUUAUAUUGCGAGCAAAACAAUAUUACAUCAACUUCUUUGAUGGUCCAAUAUCCUAGUGGAUAGGGUGUUGGGUUUCACCCAUGCAUCUCGAGUUUGAAACUCCUCAUUCCCCUAAAUUAGUGGAAUAGUUUUGAACUUUCCCUUCUCCUUAAUAAUAAUAAUAAUAAUAAUUGAAAAAGAGAGGAGAGUUUAAGGGUUUCUUACACUCAAUGAAACAUGUGAAGCAAUUGUAUCUGCCAUUGCAAGGAGGCAGGAGUUUCUUAUACUAUUUUCCCUUAUUCCUGCUAUAAAUAAUUGGGUGCAUGGGAAGGGGGAUUAAAUUUUCAAUAGCAAAAACAUGUCUUCAGUUUGUUUUUCAUUAUUUUCAAAAAGAGCCUGUACUAGGCAACUGAAACAUGAAAAUUUAAGGGUGAAAAAAUUGACAUAGUCAUUACUUUAAGUGCAAGAAAAAAAAGUGACUAAGUUUAAGGGGACGUGUUGAUCAAUCGUUGCAGUUUCUGCGCAAAAUGCAUCAAACCCUCAAGAACUCAAUGUCAAGAGGUCCAACUUUCCUAAUGAUUUCCUGUUCGGAGUCACUACUGCUGCUGCACAAAUAAGGAUUUGCAAAAGAAGCAGAAAGAGGCCCAAGUGUUUGGUACUGUUGCGUUGAGAAAUUCCCAGGUUUAUAUAUCAGAUGUUUGGGACCAAGUGUUUUGUUUAUGAUUCUUUUGCAGACCACACGAACAUGUUUACAGCCAUCGAUUCAUACAAGCAGUAGAAGGUGCAUAUCGAGCAAGCAAUAAUUAAGUUUCUCUCGUCUUUGGCCUAAAUAUAUAACCAAAUAUUUGUAACUGUAGGCAGAAGUGAAGGCUCUCAAGGACCUUGGAGUUGAUUCUCACAAAUUUUCCAUCUCUUGGAACCGGAUUCUUCCUAGUAAGUAGUUAUAAUUUUACCUAGUUCUAUUGUUCCGCUAAUAUGCGGUUUCGUGGGAGCUACAUCUUUGAAUUAAAAUUUAUGGUUUAUUGGUUAAUCUUGCUAAACUUGUCCCACAUCGACCAUCGCAAAAUAUUUACAGCGCUUUAUAUGCCUAGUUACAUGUUCACUGUUCGCUGAGCUAAGUCAUGCUAGCUUGUGACCCAAAUGGGGGCACCAAGGUGGUGGGACAUCGGUUCGACCCAUUCGGCAGGACUAGACGUUGCAAUUUGCUGGCUCGCCCAUUCCAAGUUGUGAGUUGGACCCUGUGGUUCGGGCUUAAGCUUGGGCCACGAGGCCCUUAGAGCGGAGGGCAAUGCGUGAGGCUGGUUUCACAGAGCAGCGAAAACCUCCCGCUCUCAAUGGUGGAAGGAUUACGGGCCGGUGCUCCGCUAGCCUAGAUUGUCUCAUGGUUUGAGACCAGUUGAACCACCACUUUUUUUCCACAUAUAACCUUUUUUUUUGUUACCACAAAUUUGACAAGUAGAUUUCCCGAAAUAAUGGAAAACUUCGAUUCAAGUAGUUUAUGUUCUUGGGAUACAAGUUGUGGUAUUGUCCCUGUUAGUUCUCAUAUCGAAAUAAUAGAAAUCUUUUAUUCAAGCAAUUUAUGUACCUGCAUUACAAAUUUGACCAUAAUAAUUUCUCUAUUGGAUUAUAUGGGAAAUACGGGAAAACUUCUAUUCAAGCAAUUUAUAUAUGUACUUGCGGGCGAUUUUCCCUAUCAUGCUCCAGUCACGACAUUUGUACAUUUAGAUACUAUUACCAUACUAUCAAGAGGAUUAGCUGCCAAGAGUAUCUAUCCAGCAAUAGAUCCUUUAGAUCACCAUCAACUAUGCUCCAACCUCGGAUCUCCAAUGAAGAAUACUUGGUUUUUUCUUCUUGUUUUCAUCACAUAGCAGGUUGACUGUUACGCUAAAGAGUUUCUCAAAUUUCAAGAUUUAUAUUUUAUAGUACUAAUAACUAAGCUGCAUGUUAUUUACAUGGUGGAAGUUUAACAUCACACGACGGAUUGAUUGUUACACUGAAGAGUUUCUCAUAUUUCACCGUAUGAACUCCAGAUGGUUGACGUACCCAAGUUUCGAUAUGAACUCCAGAUGGUUGAUCAAGCUCAUCUUCUUCCUUGCACACAAUUGCCUAUAUGUGUUGAGUGGGAGAAAACUGUAAAGAAGAGUGUUACAAUAGGUACUAUAUAUGCCUUGAAUGUUCAGUUUCAUUGGCUUGGUGUUUCUGUGGGGAUGCCAUGUACUUUUAAAGCUUGUUUGGUAUUGUUGUGCUUUUAAAAAAAAACUGAUUAUGAUGUGCUGUAAAAAUAAUCAGCUGUAAAAUAAAACAGUUAAGUUUUUGGUAAACUUUUACUGAAAAAAAUGCUUUUAACAACAAAAAAAAAAAAAAAAAAAAAAACCAUGUUCAAGUGUUUGGUAAACUUUAUGUAAAACUACUAUGGUCAUGUUAAAUGACUAAAAGACUAUAAUAUUAAAUGUGAUAUAAUAAUUUAUUUUAUUUUUUAUUUAUAAUUUCAUCUUCAAUCUUCAUCAUUUUCUGAUCACAGUCCAGUUAUUGUUCAGUGCGAACCACGUACUGGGAAGAGGAAGAGGAUUUUCCGCUUUGAAGCUCACUGGGCAAAGGAUACAGAUUGCAAAGAAAUUGUGAAAAAAGCUUGGGACAAAUUCCGAGAAGGUAACUCUGUGGAGAGGUGGAAUCUAAAAAUCAAUGAGGCUCGCUCUAAUCUUUCCAAGUGGAGUAGGGAUAAGUUUAGACAGAGAUCGUGGCAAAUUCAGGAGUUGAUGUACCACCUGGGACGACUCCAACUAAAUUGGAGAUGCAACUCCCAUGAGAUAGAAGAGCUUACAAAGAAGGUUGAUCGUUUAUGGAGUCAGGAGGAGAGCGUUUGGCAACAAAAAUCAAG